rnacentral:misc_RNA from 1 species
GAGAAUCAUCUCUUUCUACAAUUUGGCACCCUAUAAACUUCAAAAUACUUGACACACUACCUUAACCAAGCCCUAGGCUCCUUCCCAUCACAAGUUACUAACUCAAUUUUAGGAAGUAAUUGAGUCAUUCCCAUCAUACCCAAAGAAUUGCCUAAGAUUAGUGUUAGGAAGAAUAUCAGGAAUAGCAAUUGUUUGGGCCACGAAUAAUAUAGGUUGCGCUCCUACAGAAAUUGAUUGAACCCCAGGAGCAGGAAUUGACUAAAUCACUGAAGUAGAUUGAGCUCUGCUGUUUUCGUCUCUAUUUUUCCCUAUCUCAGAACUGGUGCUUCCUUAAUUCUGUUCCCCUUCUAGUGCAACAUUAACAAUUGCUCUAACAUCGCAUUUUUCUUCUCAUACUGAGCCUGGUUCUUCUCAAAAUUCUUCCCAACUUCCUUCAGUUCCUCAGCAUUCCUCUGA